CGCACUCCGCAGGGCUGCGCCCCGCUGGCCGGCUGCUGGCCCUCCUGCUCUCAGGCUUGGGGCCGCUUUGCUCCCGGGACCACAGACCCAGGUCCUAACAGUGGGCACCCAGCUUUGGCCCGCCCUUCCUUGGACUUGAACCUGCCCCGGAGGGUCCUGCUGCGGCCUUCGGAUCUAUACAGUGUCUCCGUGAGUCUAUACCCAGAGGCUCCCGUGGCGCCGGGGAUUGCAAGGCUGAACCCGUUUAUAAUCAGAUGGAUCAGAAUGGAUGCCUUCCUAAAUCCAAAAUCGAAUGGAUGAUUUUCAGAACGAGACCUGCCUUUCGAAGCAUAAAAGUGGUAGAAAGGCAUACAAAUGGAACCACGUAAAUUACGAGCCUGUGAAAAUUGCAAAAUAAUG